AGCGAACGCUGGCGGCAGGCCUAACACAUGCAAGUCGAACGGAUCCUUCGGGAUUAGUGGCGGACGGGUGAGUAACACGUGGGAACGUGCCCUUUGGUUCGGAACAACUCAGGGAAACUUGAGCUAAUACCGGAUGUGCCCUUCGGGGGAAAGAUUUAUCGCCAUUGGAGCGGCCCGCGUCUGAUUAGCUAGUUGGUGAGGUAACGGCCCACCAAGGCGACGAUCAGUAGCUGGUCUGAGAGGAUGAUCAGCCACGCUGGGACUGAGACACGGCCCAGACUCCUACGGGAGGCAGCAGUGGGGAAUCUUGCGAAAUGGGCGAAAGCCUGACGCAGCCAUGCCGCGUGAAUGAUGAAGGUCUUAGGAUUGUAAAAUUCUUUCAGCGGGGACGAUAAUGACGGUACCCGCAGAAGAAGCUCCGGCUAACUUCGUG
rnacentral:rRNA from 1 species